rnacentral:rRNA from 1 species
GAUGAACGCUGGCGGCGUGCCUAAUACAUGCAAGUCGAGCGAACAGACGAGGAGCUUUCUCCUCUGACGUUAGCGGCGGACGGGUGAGUAACACGUGGAUCACCUACUUAUAAUACUGGGAUGACUUCGGGAAACCGGAGCCAAUACCGGAUCAUAUAUUGAACCGCAUGGAUCAAUAGUGCAUGACGGCUUUCCCGUCUCUUUUAGCUGGUUCCGCGUCGGAUUAGCUAGUUGGUAAGGUAACGGCUUACCAAGGCAACGAUGCGUAGCCGAUCUGAGAGGGUGAUCAGCCACACUGGAACUGAGACACGGUCCAGACUCCUACGGGAGGCAGCAGUAGGGAAUCUUCCGCAAUGGGCGAAAGCCUGACGGAGCAACGCCGCGUGAGUGAUGAAGGUCUUCGGAUUGUAAAACUCUGUUAUUAGGGAAGAACAGAUGUGUAAGUAACUAUGCACGUCUUGACGGUACCUAAUCAGAAAGCCACGGCUAACUACGUG